CUGCCCAAUGAAUGCAGCAAUUGGUUCCCAGAGUAAAGAGUUCGGGGUGGAAUAGCACAGCGAGGUUGUUAAAUGCUGAUCUGAGCACAGAGUUAUUCACAGUGUCAUGGGAGGAGGUCAGACUGACUCUAAGCAAGUCCCGUGGAAAGGGAGUACAAGUUUAGCCUUGCGAUCUCUGAAAAAUCUUAAUGAAAAUCCACCUUUCUCAAAAUUACUGAAAUUCUUGACCAUUUCUUCAUGUGGGACUUCUUAACAAUGGGAACCUUCCGUGGGAUAAAUAGGACUAAGGCUUCUGUGAGCAGAGAAUGUUCUGUGCAGUUUACAAUUUGGGCUGCCAAAAAGGAUAUUUCCUAGGUAAUUAUCAUUUAGAGGAAAAAAAGUAAAGUACUCUGAGUUGGAGGGGAAAAAAAUCGCCAUUGUGAACUUACAUCCAGAAAGUGAAUAGGUUGGAAACCAGUUCGUUCUUGAGAACAGCAAUAAAAUUUCUUUUAAGAGAGAGAAUUGCCCUGUCUUGGAACCGAGCGAGUUCUUCCUGCAGCUUUUCUAAGUAAAGCCUCAGAUUUGGCUUUUGACAAAGAGUCCCCAUGGCUUGUCAUGCAACAUGUAGGUUUGGGGGAAGGGACUUAUCUUCUCAGCACAGUAACAGAGGCUGAAGGGAAAUAACUAUGGCUGUAAUUACUUCAAGUGAGUGUAGAAAUUGGAGAAGGCUAGAGCUUCCUUGGAUGCUGUGCAACUAGGGAUCGGUGGUCAAUAUGAAUGACAAGAGAUCAAACGUCAGAUUUUUGGAACCAGUCAGAGUCAAAGGCUGUUGCCAAGCUCCUGUGAGUUAAGGAUGAGGGUUUUUAUUUAUCAUUUGUCUUGAAAACAAAAUAAACAAAAGGAAAUCUUUUCUUCUCAUCACAGAUGGAGGAACUGGGAGAGGAGACGCAUACUGGUACUAGGCAGAAAAUGCGUACAGUGAAAUGACUGGGCUUGGAGCAGUUAAAUAUUCCCAACUUUGGGCGAGAGCAAGAUCUUUAUGCUUUAGCUAUAAACUUACUCCUGCUUCAGGCCCCAUCUUUUCACAUUCUCUACCAGAGGAAUACGCCAUCAACUUCUAGUUCAGACACAGAUUCAGUAACUGCUCUAUUUUCUGUUUUAUCAAUCUGUGCCUGUGUGUUUCUACAACAUCCCACUGCGGAAGAGAAAGCCCCGGUUACCAAAGCAAGAAAUCUGUCCUCUGGUCUGGUUCAAAGCAUGUAUCACGCACGGGAGUAGGUAAAGAAAAUCCUUGUCAGGAAAGCAGGCCUGAGGACUAAAUCUCACACCAUGAAACACUCCUUCCUCCUAAAACCUUAAACAAAAAGCUAAGCUGUGACUCAGCCCCCUGCAAAAGGGGCUCAAAGCAUUUGUUAGAAUAAAGGGGAGUGCAAGAGGCCAGCAGACCAGCACUCGUCAGGGGCCACGGGGCUUCAUUUCAGGGCACACGCACUUCAGUAUUUCUAGAAAUGACCAGGGCAAGGGACUUAGAUGCAUGGUAAUGUGCGUGUAUUAAGCCACCUUGGAGAUUACAACAAGACCCUGGACCAGAGGGUGGUUAGAGCAAGCUCCCCAGGCAGCAGUCACAGCCCCAGGCUGAGGGAGUUGGAGAAGCAUUUGGACACUACCAUUGGAGAUGGCAGUUGAAGUUCAGGCAGACCGGGGCAGAGCUACAAGUGGGAGGUCCCUUCCAACACAGGCUGCAUUCCUAUUCUACACCCAGCAGCCAUUUUACUAAGUGUAUACUUGUUAAGCUUUUCCUCUCUUCUCAGUAGUGUACUCCUUCACCAGCCCACUGGGAAAAAAGCAGAGCCUGUUAGCCCCAGCAGCAACAGCUUAAAGGCCAGCAGACAUCUCCUUGCACUAAUGAGUCAACCUACUAACACACUGAGACACAGUAGCAGCAAAGGCAGAAGGAGAGUAGUUUUGUAUUCAAGUCAAUUAACUCCUUUUGCUCUCCUGCCUUGUAGAGGUGGCUGCAUUUGAACAGCAGCACAGCUGGAACAUUAACUAACUAAAAGUGAAGUUAAUAACUGCAGACUUCCACACAAGGUACAAUAUACAUCCUCAAGCCAGGGAAGCCCUACCGCAUCUGAGAAAGGCUGCCUUGCAGAAAUUCAGCUGCAACAACACAGACACAGGAAACAUCCUCAGCAAUUUCAGCUGGUGAGCGAAGUGAGGCUGAGGCAUGGUGCUGUUGGAGUAGGUGCUCUGUAAAUAUUUGUUAUUAACAUAAGUCUCACCUUUUUUUUUUUUUAAACAGAACAUACAAUGCCAAACGACCACCCACCGAAGAGGGCAUUUGCCUCCCCUUUCUCACCCCUCAAGAUUACCGAGGGAAUGGCAUCAGCCAGGGAAGAAGCCCCCAGCACAGAAAAAGCAGGUGCCUCCUCUUUUAGUGUGGUAAGUAAGGAUUUAGAGUUACACCUAGACAUUCCCCUAUGCAGUUUUGCUUCGGCCAGAAGCUGAAGAACGUAAAGAAAGUGGAAGAGGUCUCUCAAACAGGAGACCUGGUUUUCCCACUAUUACAAAGUCACCCAUUUCUAAAUUUCAGGCCGCCCAUCUACCAGUUCAAUCCAGCACAGGUCAUGAGGUACGCUCUUGAAUAUUUUGCCUUAUCCACAGAAGGAGGUACCUUCAUUUUUAUUUAUAUAAACAAAAAUGAAGUUGGCCAUGUUAGAGACCUCUCACAAGAGGAGAGGUCAUCAGCAUUUCCCUUGUUUAGUUUUCCCACUUAUCUGAUUUCCCCCUCCCCCAGAGUAGCACACCAAAAUCUGAGAGCACAGCAGCAGCUCCCCUCCUUCAUGAGGGUCUCAGUCUACUUAGGCUGCUGCUGCGGUAUCCAUCCUGCAUACACUAGAGAUGGUUUACUCCCCCACACCACAGGCAAACGCCACCCCUGGCCACUUCCUCCAACCCCCAGGGAGCAGUGACUACAGAGAACAAGCAACCUCUUAAGUCACAACAAGAAGUUGGUUCCAAGGGGCCUUACCUGAGCUUUGAAGUAACACACUAAAAGCUUUCUCCUCCUCCUCCUUUCAGCCCAGGACCAGGAACACCACCACUAAGCAGCCAUCACCACACAGGAGCCACUAGAGCACCUCGGGAAGAGACAUCUUUGUCAGGAGGGGAGCUCCCCCUCCCCACCCCACAGAGGGAGUCCCCCAGCCAAGAGGGGAACUCCUCCCUCACACCCCAUGCAGGGGGGCCCUCCACCCAGGAGGGAGCUCCCUAAGUGGGGGGAGAGAAGAGGGAGAGCCCCUCCCCCCCACUCAGGAGGGGAGCUUACCCUCCCCACCCAGGGGGGGCUCCCCAGAGGGAGGGGAGGCCCCCCCACCCAGGAGGGGAG
ensembl:lncRNA